rnacentral:sRNA from 12 species
AUCCGUGGAUAUCGGGUGCGCACCGCUCCUCCUCCGGCUGUUCUCCUUCACAGCUAUGACCCAUGCGCCGCACAGGCAGUGUCCCGCUUCGUGUGCAAAAGGGCUCGUC